rnacentral:sRNA from 1 species
GCCAGGGGUUUUGGCGGGCACCUGUGGUCCCAGCUACUUGGGAGGCUGAGGCAAGAGACUCACUUAGGCCCAGGAGUUGGAGGUUGCUGUGAGCUGUGAUGCCAUAGCACUCUAUCUAGGGGGACAGCUUGAGGCUGUCUCAAAAAAAAAGAUAAGAGACAGUCUCACUUUGUCGCUCUCGGUAAAGUACUGUGGCAUCACAGCUCACAGCAACCUCCAACUCCUGGGCUUAGGUGAUUCUCUUGC